UACGAAGGGGGCUAGCGUUGUUCGGAAUUACUGGGCGUAAAGCGCACGUAGGCGGAUACUUAAGUUAGGGGUGAAAUCCCGGGGCUCAACCCCGGAACUGCCUUUAAUACUGGGUAUCUCGAGUUCGAGAGAGGUGAGUGGAAUUCCGAGUGUAGAAGGUGAAAUUCGUAGAUAUUCGGAGGAACACCAGUGGCGAAGGCGGCUCACUGGCUCGAUACUGACGCUGAGGCACGAAAGCGUGGGGAGCAAACAGG
rnacentral:rRNA from 1 species